ensembl:snRNA U1 U1 spliceosomal RNA
AUAGGUUCCUGGCAGAGGUGAAGCCAUGAUCAAGAAGGUGGUUUGCCCAAGGCGAGGCUCAGCCUUUGUACUCCAGCUAUUGUUGACCUUUGCAAAUUUUCCAAAUGUUUGAGAUGUUCAUGGGCAGUGGUGGCUCAGUGGUUUAAGGCUCUUGGUUACUGA